rnacentral:rRNA from 1 species
UCCGGCCGUAUCACGUUGAAACACCGAUUCUCGCAAGAUCACCAAAGUUAAGCAACGUUGAGCCUGGUGAGUACCUAUAUGGGUGUCCGCUUGGGAAUACCUGAUGCUGUAAG